UUCUAAGUCCUACCACUGCUUUUGUGUUC
rnacentral:piRNA from 1 species